rnacentral:rRNA from 1 species
UCGGGAAUUUUGGGCAAUGGGCGAAAGCCUGACCCAGCAACGCCGCGUGAGUGACGAAGGCCUUAGGGUUGUAAAACUCUUUCGUCGGGGACGAUAAUGACGGUACCCGAAGAAGAAGCUCCGGCUAACUUCGUGCCAGCAGCCGCGGUAAUACGAAGGGAGCUAGCGUUGUUCGGAAUCACUGGGCGUAAAGCGCACGUAGGCGGAUAGUUAAGUCAGGGGUGAAAUCCUGGGGCUCAACCCCAGAACUGCCUUUGAUACUGGCUGUCUCGAGGUCGAGAGAGGUUGGUGGAAUUCCUAGUGUAGAGGUGAAAUUCGUAGAUAUUAGGAAGAACACCAGUGGCGAAGGCGGCCAACUGGCUCGAUACUGACGCUGAGGUGCGAAAGCGUGGGGAGCGAAACAGGAUUAGAUACCCCCGUAG